UCAAACUGUGAGCCCAUUAAACCCUUUUUCCUGUAUAAAUUACCCAGUCUGGGGUAUGUCUUUAUUAGUAGCAUGAAAACUUGCUAAUACACUUCCCAAUCUUAGAACGUAGCCUUGUACUUUAAAACUCUUUGUAUUUCCUUUUCCCACCAGGUACUUCCAUGCACAGUGCUUGCAUAUCUAAUUAUGUGUUUGCUUAGAAAUUCCGGGGCUAAUUAUAAAACAGCCCAGACAUAGAGACCCAGCUGCACAAUCCUCUCACUUAGGGAGAGUUACAAUUAGUUCACCACUAAUUGGGCCAAAAUCAGGAUGACACAAACUAUUUCUCUGGAUGGGCAAUUACUCAAGAUAUCCAUUGGAACAAGACAUACAGAUCUGCAUUUUCCUGUAUCACUCCCACACAUAUGUCCCACACCAAGUUUUCCUUCUUAAACCCCCUCAGUCAACCCAAAAAGUAAGACUGGACUUUUAAGGCAUGAGCUUGGCCAUUCCCCAACUACUUGCAUUUAAUUAAUAAAAUUUCAGCCUUUGAGUGGCAAGCAGUGGAUUUUAGCUGGUUACAAAUUUCGUGCCCCAUGUUACAAACUGUGUGUUUUGAGCAGCUCAGUCUGUACACCUGGUUUCCAAUGAAUGGAGCAAUUGGGCACAGCAGAUGCCAGAACUUACCCAUUCAUGCUACCAGGCAGUACAGCAGUCACUUGCAAAUGCUAGCUGCUUAUGGCUAGCUGACCCUGCAGUUGGGACCUUACGGAAUUCCCAACAACCGUCAAUACUGUUUGUCUUGGGGAUUUGCCCUUCCCUCUUCUUCAUGGCAUCAGCUGCUAUAAUACUGUGUUGGAGUGAGGAAAGCCACAUCUGGGAAGCUGAUGGGCUUCAAGAACUGGGCAACCAGAGUGCAUCCAAAAAUCCUCUGUCUUUGCUAUCUGGGCUUUCCAGCUAUCAGGACCUAAUGCUGGUCACUCCAUGGUCCCAUCUGGGUUUGAGACAAGAUCUCAGGACUUUUCUCUAAAAUACCCUACCAGUCUGGAACACUCUGUCUACACUGGAUCCAUCUGUGGUUUUUGUCUGUUUAGUGAUUCGUAUCCUUCUGAGGAUGCUUUGGCAGUUUCCAUCCCACCAGCCAAGCCCAGGUCCAACUGAUUAUCAGAGGGCAGCAAGAUAGGCUACUCUUCUCCUUGCUAGGGGAAAAGCAGGUUUUAUCAUUUUGGCCACCAAUUUUGUAACUCUGAGACUUUAGAAUAUUUUAGACACUUGUGUCAAGCUUUGUGGGGAGGAGAAUCUGUGAGAAUUCUUUUCUAGACUAUCUGGGAAUCCAGCUGGUUACACAUCUAUGGCCGUUUUUGUACACAUUUUAAAUUGAUGGGAAAAUUACAGCAAUAAAAAUUCAGAGCUCAAAUGGUUAACCUGCAACUAUAAAGUUAAGCAGAAUCUUCUAAAGUCUCUAUUUAUGUUUCUCUUUUGUUUUCAGCCUGUGCUGACUCUACUGUUAGUAAGCUACUGAUGUUGAGAUAAAACUCACUGUUUCAAAGUAAUGUAGAUAAUUUUUUAUUCUUAUACAGUUCAGCUAGUUCUGGCUAAAAUAUAAACAUUGCAAACUCCUUUAAAACUUAAUUUAAAAAAGGUAAAAGAGGUUUUUAAAAAUUAAAACUGCCAUAAAAACUGUUUUACCCAAAAUUUUGAUCCACCCUUUUUCUUGGAUUACCUAUCAGGGCAAAAAAAGUUUAGCCAUGUAAACAGAUUCCAUUUCAUAAAAAAAAAAAAAAAAAAAUUUGGAUACAGCUGUCUUUUAUAAAAUGGUGAGUCUGUAUUGCUAUCUUAUGGCUAGAACUCUAAGGUAAAAGCUAUUGGAUCUUUGUUUGUAUAUAUGUGUAUACAUAUUUAGAUAUGUUUAUGUGAUUGCAUUAUUACAUGUAUGUAACAUGUAUUGUUAUGUGUUGCUCUAGCAUGCUACCAAAUGACCUUAUAAAGUAGAUGAGUAAUUAUAAAUUAGGUAAGUACAAAUGCUUUUCAAGUUCACACAGAUCUUCAGUAAAUAAAACUGGUUUUAAAAUCAUUAGUAAGAUUAAAAUGUCUUCAGAAUUGUCAGCAUACAUUUUUGUCUGGGUAAAUAAGUUUUAUAGUUUUAUAGUUGCCUUGGCUAAAUGUUUUAAGGUGUCAUAGUUUGGCACAAAGGUUCUGAGACUAUAAACCCAACUGAAAACAGAGUAAUCUUUGUGCAAUUUUUUUUUUUAAAUAAAAUUUACAAUUGUUAGUUUAACGAAAACAGCUAAAUCUUCUGAGUUACUGGCAAAAUGCCCAGUGUUUAAGGUUCUUAGUUAGAUGCAUAUCUGAUAUUCAGACUUUAAAAAUGGUUAACAGGGAAAUAACUUUAAAUAAUGACCAACUUUAUGUGAUAUCUCAGUUUUCAGUAGUAAUCUAGAUAAGCUGUUAAAAAUGAGAAAAUACUGAGUACAUAUAAAUGAGAUAAAUGCUUAUAGACUUUUUGUGUAAUUUAAAACCCUAAAAAUUUUAAAUUAAGUAAUACUCAUUCACCCUUUCUACUUUCCCAUACAUUAUGGCAUAGAACGGUUGAGGACAGUGUAAAUCCAGGUAAUGGGUCAAGACUUUUAUGAACUGAAAAUAAAGUGCUACUAAAAUCCUAGAGAAACCAAGGGCCAGACCAACAGCUAGCCAAAAAGUAGACAGUAACUCAACCAUCCAUUCAUCUGUCAGAUUGGAUGGAAUAAGACCAUGGAUACAUCACACUGAGGUGAAGGCAGCUCCUCCUGAACCUGAUGCCUCAGACAACCGGACUGCUUGGUCAUGUAAACCAAGAGGACCUAAAGUUAUUUAUUAAAGAAAAAUCAUACAAAUAAGUAACACCCUUCUGUUAACAUAAAUUGUUAAUGAAUUGUACAGUUAUAAGUACAUUCUUUAUCUUUGCUAAAACUAACCUGUUUGCUGAAUGGGCACAGCUGGUGAGUUACCUCUAAAAUAGAAGACUGUUGGAUCUGCAGGGUGCCACCCCUUUCUUUAAUCACAGGCUUGCCAUGGUGCACACAAACUGCUAACCUGAGCACUUGAGUAUUUUUAUACUUGGGGUAAAAAUACUCACCUGUUUCCCUUCUAUGAUUACAGCAGCACUUACCAUGAGUUCCCCACCUCUAAGAAAACACAUAAACAUAUUUUCCUUCUGUUUCAUAAACAGGUUAACGCCACCCCCACUACAGGAUAUGCCAUACACGAUGGCAUAGGAUGGCUGAUGGCAGCGUAAAUCCAGGUACUUCAUGCACAGUGCUCCCUUGUAUAAUUGUGCUUACUUAGAAUUCCAGGGACUAAUUUUAAAGCAAAACAGACACAGAGACUAAACAAAUCAGCCGCGCAAUCCUCCCACUUAGGGGCAGUUAUGAACAGUUCAUCCACCACCCCUGGGCCAAUAUCAAGAUGAUGCAAACUGGACUCCAGAUGGGCAGAUUACUCAAGAAAACCAUCAGAAGACGACAUGCAAGACCUGCACCUGACUGCACCGCUCCCACUUACUUCCCACACCAAGUUUCCCUCUUAAACUCCCUCACUCAGCCCAAAACGUUGGAAUGGUCUUUUAAGGCAUGAGCCUGGCCAUUUCCCAAUUGCUAACAUUUGAUUAGUAAAACUGCUUUCCUUUCACUACAUUUUGCUUUUCAUGUUUUCAGCCUCUGAGUAGCAAACAGCUGGACUUAAGCCGGUUACACAUCCAUAACACAGGAUUACAUGCCAUAUAAUGAGAUAAAGCAAACAAGAUUUAGCUGUAAGGGAUUAUCAUCAAUUUUAUCAAAGUGAAUCACUUUUACUUUGAUAAAAUUGAAGUCACCAUAAUUUUUUGAACAGUUAAAAUAUCCCAACCUUCCAUGUCACAAUAAACAACUGUUAGCAUAUUAA